GAUGAACGCUGGCGGCGUGCCUAAUACAUGCAAGUCGAGCGAACAGAUGCGGAGCUUGCUCCUCUGACGUUAGCGGCGGACGGGUGAGUAACACGUGGAUACCCUACCUAUAAGACUGGGAUAACUUCGGGAAACCGGAGCUAAUACCGUAUAAUCUCUUGAACCGCAUUGUUCAAUAGUGAAAGUCGGUUUUGCUGUCACUUAUAGAUGCUUCCGCGCUGCAUUAGCUAGUUGGUACGGUAACGGCUUACCAAGGCAACGAUGCGUAGCCGACCUGAGAGGGUGAUCGGCCACAUGAGAGCGGGGACACGCUCCAUGCUCCUACGGGAGGCAGCAGUAGGGAAUCGGACGCAAUGGGCGAAAGCCUGACGGAGCAGCGCCGCGUGAGUGAUGAAGGUCUUCGGAGCGUGAAACUCUGUUAUUAGGGAAGAACAAAUGUGUAAGUAACUAUGCACGUCUUGACGGUACCUAGUAAGAAAGCCACGGCUAACUACGUG
rnacentral:rRNA from 1 species